AAAGUGCUUUGGUUUUUUUCUUCUCUUCCACAUAGGGAUGAGUAAGGGGACUGUCCCCCAAGCCAAGGGAUGUGCAUUUGAAGAGAAUUUUCACGAAGACUAAAGUGCCUGCCAAGAAGGGUACUGACCACUCAGUCCCAGUCUGAUGUUUACCACGUAUUGGUGACUGGGAGGCCUGUCCCAGGGACCCAAAGCAGAGCACAAUAGAAAAGUUCCGGGAAGAACUUGACUUUCAUUCCCUGGAGUUUGCCAGUCUAUGUGAAGAUAAAGGCAGAUACAUUUCUCUUGGAGUCUGAAGGAGCAAGAAAUAGGAAUGAUAGGGUAAACUCCAACCUGGAGGCUCAUCCGUCCUGAGCUGGGGGAACGGAAGGUAUGGACUGAAUGUGAGAUGACAUUUUUACUCUCCAGGACCUGUUAAUAUCUGCAAAUGAGUCAGUUGUCAAAAUAAGACUGCUGUUGGAGUGGAAAAGUUUCUACAGCAUCUUCUGGAGUUAGCAAUCUGGGUCUCUGGAAGGCCAGUUCUACUCCAAUCAAGUCUUCUGUUUAUAUAUUCCUGACCUAAAAAAAAAAAAAAUUAUGACAUUGAGAUCGAAGAUAUAUCAGUCUGAGUUCUCAAGAGGAGUGGACCAAGGGGGAUGUAUCAAUAGAACGUGAUUGUGAGGAGAGAGACACACGUUACCAAUGAAAGAUCAGGAUCACCUGGUAGCAGGAAUACGAAUAAAGCACGAUGACGGCAAGAUCUGACAUUUGUCCAUUGUGUCAUUGCAGUCCGGGAACGUCAGACCCGUCUUGGCUUGGCAGAUUUAUUCCAGUCUGAUAUUUUCAUGAAAUUAAA